GGCGGCUCCCCCUUUGCUUUCUACCAUGAUUGGAAGCUUCCUGAGGCCUCCCCAGAAGCAGAAGCCACUAUACUUCCUGUACAGCCUGAAGAACCGAAUCUUCAGACUCUCUCUUUAACUUCAGGAUAGUUAUGAAGACCUUGGCAUUGCUCUGUAGAAUUUUCAGCCUACUUCCUUUGCCAAGCUGCCACACUUCCUUGCGCUGCUCAAGCUAUGUUCCAGCUACCAACAUUUUCCAAACAAGCUGGGCUCCUUCCAGCCCUGUGACUUUGUUGGCUGUUCCUUUUUUGAUCAAAUAUGCCUGUCCCAACUUCUCUGCCUGGCAAGAAAAGCUUCAUUCUCUAAGAUUCAUCACAGAUAAAUUGUAUUGGUGAAACCUGGCCUGCGUCCCCAAGGUGAAUUAGUUCUUCUUUCCUCUUCGCUCCCAUAGCACCCUCAAGUCAGCUUCUAUUAUGCCAUUUAUUAUGCUGUUAUAUAAGUACAUAAUUGUUCAUUUUGGGCUGUGUCCUCCACUAGACUGUGAAUUUAUGAGGAUAAGGACUGUUUGUGUUUCCGAUUACUGGAGGUGUUCAAGUCCAGUGCUGGAACCAAAGGAUGAGACCGACGGUAGUAUAAACUCAGUUUUAGAUGGGUGAUUUGCCAAGAUGACAAGGGAUACUCCAUUUAGUUCUAAGCAAAUAGCAUUUCCUUGCCUAGCUUACCAUUCUCACCGGGGAAGGAGGAGAAGGAAGUUAGAAUGGGGGCUGGGCAGGAAGUGAAGUUUCUGGUAUUGAUGUAUCUCUUCCAACUUUAAUCAGCAACUUUAAUAAACAUAUUAUUUUCUCCUUACUAGUUCCUGAGAUUUCAGGGCUCUAAUAAAUGAAAAGCAGCUCUCCCUACUAUAAAACAUUUGAGGCAACUACUGGACUAAUAAUACCUAAUGUUAUUAAGCAUUUUCUAUGUGCCAAGUAGUCUUCUCAGUGCUUUACAUAUGUUAAUUCAUUUAAUUCCCACAAUAACUCCCAUAAAAUAAGUAUCAUCACUAUCUUUAUGAUAUAGAUGUGAAAAAUGCAAACAUAGUUCAUAAAACUUGCUUAACAAUAUUUUAUGAAUAAGUGGCAGAUCUUAUUCAAAGCCAGGCAAAUGAUCCAGAUCCCUACAACUUUCUGCCAGCCAUAAUCAAAGAUACAUUGUCCUCAGAACUAUUGUCUCCCUCUCACAUUUUUAGCCUCUAAGCAUUUAGUUAUGAGGCUCAAGGUCAGCACUAACUGAUCACAGGUGUUUUUUGAAGUUGUUUCCUUUCAAAUUCCAUGAAACAUAUACCGAGUUCAUGUGGCCUUGUUCCCCUUUGCAUUUGUCAUUCAUCGUACUCCUGUUACCUCUGCUCUUCUUUCCUUCACGCGUGUUUACACACUGCAGAUGAAUGAUCUUGAAACACACAAUCGGAUCAUGUUAAAACAGUUGCUCAAUAUUACCCCCACUGCUUUAAGAAUAAUAUCCAAACAUAAAAUGAAAAGCCUUGCAUGAGGUGGGCCCACUCUUCUAGUGUCAGGUCUGGGCUUGAUAGAAGUAAAAAACAAAACAGGAAAUUAGGCCAUAAGGAUACCCUGAGCACAGCUUCAACAUGUGAGGCUCACCAUAACAUCUAUGUCCUAAAUGACCCUGAGGUCUUCAACUUCACUGGGUUCUCUCAUGCUUUUACACAUUGUUCCUUCCCUGACCAUUUCCCCUUUCUCUAGAGUUUGCCAAAGAGACAGAACCAAUAGAAUAUAUAUAAGUACUGUAUAUAGAAAAGUAUUUAUUAUGAAGAAUUGGCUCACAUGAUUAUGGCAGGCGAGAAUUCCCAAGAUCUGCCAUCUGUAAGCUAGAAAACCAGGAAAGCCAGUAGAGUUGUUCUAGUACAAGACCGAAGGCCUGAGAACCAGGGGAGAUGAUGGUAUCUUAGUCUGCGCCGAAGACCUAAGACUCAGGAAUGCUGAUGUCUGAGGGCAGGAGAAUCUGGAUGUCCCAGCUCAACCAGAGAGAGAAAAUUUGCUCUUUCUCUACCUUUUUGUUCUAUUUGGGCCCUCAACAGACUGGAUGAUGCCCGCUGGUUUUGGUGAUGGCAAUCUUUCUUUUUCAGUCUGCAGAUUCAAAUGCUAAUCUCUUCCAGAAACACCCUCACUGACACACCUAGAAAUAAUGUUUUACCAGCUAUCCAAGUAUCCCUUAUUAGCCCAGUCAAAUUGAUGCAUACAUUUACCUAUCACUUUCCUCUUCUUGACAAAUUCUUAUAUAUCCUAAAGUUUUGACCUAAGCCACAAAAAGCUAGACCCUAAGAGAAUGACUACUUUAGACUUGGCUUAGUGUGUUUCACAGGAUUGGCAGAAAGAGAAGUUGAACUCAAAUGCAAUUGUAAGAAAGCCUCAGCUGAUCCCAGGGUAUACUCGUCUCCUGUGGCUGCUGUAACAAAUCCCUGCAAACUGGGUGACUUCAAACAACACACUUUUUUCUCUCAGAGUUCUAGAGGCCAGAAGCCUGAAAUCAGUAUCACUGAAUCACAAUUAAGGUGUCGCUAGAGCUAUCCUCCCUGUAAAGGAUAAGCCAUUCCUUUCCUCUUCUGGUGGUGGUUGGCAUUCUUUGGCCUGUGGCUGUAUCACUCUGAUCUUUGCCUUCAUCCUCAAAUUACCUUCUCCUUAUGGGACUGCAUUUAGGAACCACACUGAGAAUCCGGGAUCUUCUCCCAAUCUCAAAACCCUUAAUUUAAUCAUAUCUGUGAAGACCCAGUUUCCAUAUAAAAUAACAUUUACAGGUUCCAGGGAUUAGGAAGUAAUAUCUUUAGGGGGUGAUUUUUCAGCUUCCCACAUAUGGGUAGCUCUGGAAGUCAGAUGGCCUGUCAUAAUUACCUCGCAAUUGAGUUUGCCUCUCUCCACUUUUCUCCCAUACAAACUUAUUUUUUUCUGUUUUUAUAUUAUGCAUACCUCUUUUAGUACUCAUUCUCACUGUGUAAUGAUUAAUAUUUACAUGUCUGUUUUCCCUUACUAGAUUGUUAGGUCCUUAAGAGUAGGGUUCCUGAUUUGUUCCUAUUUGCAGCUGCCUCAGUAUCUGGCAGACGGUAAGUGCUCAUAAAUUUUUAAUGAAUGAACUAAUAAAUGUAGCUUAAUGCAGCCACUCUCUGCCUCUUCAUCAAUUGGUGGAGCAGAUGGAACAGCUAACUGUAUGAACGAAAGCCAUCAAGCAUGUCCAGCAAAAGUGACUGAGUGUGUAUCAGGAGGCAGUAAAGUAAACAAUAUCUCAAGGGUCUCACAGCUGUUUCACUGCCUUUCAGCCAAGAAAUGCCAUGAUUUACUUUCUGCUCUUGCCAAGGAUGAAGAAAUAAAGUCAUAAACAAAAAGUGAAGGAGUGAAGAAUUACUCGGCUUGGAUGGACAGGUCAAUCUGCUUGCCCACCUGUGGCCAAGCAAGCGUGAUCAAACAAUAAUAUACUUUCCCCUUCUAUUCACAUCUCAUAGUCUUUAUUCUUUAACAAGAAUGAAGGAAUCUUCAAUGGGAAAUGUAGUUCCACAUCUAACAUCACUGAUAAAGUCAGUUUUAUACACAGUUAAUAUUGAGUGUCCCCAUUAUCGUAGGGACUGUAUAAAAAUCUGCCCCAAAUAUAACCCCUUCUCUUUGCAGGUUGCUACAUUUCAAGAGUGCUCUUGCAUAAUAUCCGCUUCACAGGGACAUGAGAGGGUUUAACAGUUAAGAAUUAAUGAAUAUAGAAACUCCUAGAACAGUACACAUGGCAUAUACCUGAUAAAUGUUUUUGUUCCUUUAUUUUCCUUUAACAGUUUAAGAUCAGUCACAAUUUACAUAUUCAUAUGGAAGAUUUGGUGGAAUGAGGUCAAUAUGGUAGUUAAUAUGUGUCUUAUUUUGGAAGUUUUACAUUUGUUAAAAUAACAUAUGCAUGUAAUAAAAGUUCAGACAGUGUGAAGCAAUAUUAAAUGAAAAGAAAUUUACUUCUGUCUUCUUUCCCUAAACCUUCUCUUAACACAAUUAUUCUAAACAGUAUGCUGCAAUCUACUUUUCCCAAUUUAUCAGUUUUACAUAGUAACUAUAAACUUUGCCUACGAAAGAUGAGGAAUUUGGUUGACUUGUAUUACUACGUCCCUCCUACUUUUGUUGUUUAUAUUGUUACUUAAUUCUAUUGGUUUCAUUUCUUACUCUAAGUAAUAUAUAUGUAAAUCUCCAUUUCUCUUUGUCAUAAUAUAGGUUAUUCUUUGAUAUUUACCAUUUAGAUCAUAAACUUACAAACUUGUAGAGCCUCAGGCCCAGUGGUUCGAUGAUAAACUGACUCGGUGGUGGAGGAAGCAGAGGGCUGAUCUGUAGCAUUUUACUAUUUCUGUGGAUGAUUUUAAGCUACCAGCCUGACUUUGAAUUCCCUUCUAUAAUUAUAAUUACCUUCAAUGCUUUUUCUAUGGUUUAGCUUUUAAAAGAUUAAUAAACUGCAUUUACAAAAUUAUUACUAUGCAAAUGUUAUUCAAUAGAGAACCAAAUAUUGUGAUUCCUAGCAGAGAAAGAAAUGUAUCUUGAUGGGAAAUAAAGUCAAUAAUAAAAUAAGCUCUAACUUUCAAGUUCCAAUUGUAUUUUAGAAAUAAUUAAAUCUAUCAAUCUGAAGAAUAUGCCUCUUCCAAAAUUCAAAAGAUAAUACAAUGAAACAGGAGCAACACUUAGAAAAUAAAC
rnacentral:lncRNA from 10 species